rnacentral:tRNA from 1 species
UCCAGGGUAGCCUAGUGGACAUGGAAUCUGCCCGGUAAGCGGAACAUUGUAGGUUCGAUUCCCAUCCCUGGAC